rnacentral:piRNA from 1 species
UGGCCUUAAACUUGCAUGAGUUAAUACCCA